UCUGCAUAAGUUUUGAGAAAUCUCCCCCUAUAUGUUAACUUAACUCGUGUAUAUCGGACACAGGACCGUUUGAAGGAAUUUGGGGGCCCCAAGCAAAACAUGGAGUUUCCCCAAUGAGAAAAUGGAGAAAAAGUUUCAAAAGAUGGUAUCAGAGUAAAAGAAGAGUACUGACUGCAAACAUGGACAGAGCUGAGUAUAAGUGGCCUUCAGGCUAGUUUUGUCCAAAAGAAACCUGAUGCAUGGGCAGUCAAGUGCCUAGUACAAGAUGGGUUUUGUUAUAUAAUAAGGGCUUAAAGGCUCUCUCCCAUUGCUCUGUUAAAGUAACUGGUGUAUGCUCUACUUCAUGGAUGAUCAAGCUUGGAUUUCUUUAGCUUUGAUCAAAGCAUCCUAAAUCCUGUACUACAAAUAUGCUAUUAUAUGACUUGUGCCUCUUGUGUGUGUUUUUUUUCAACAAUGAAGCAAAU